UUUCUGGUUGUAAAAAUAGGAUGAGCAGCAACUUUCUUGUCAACAUGAUGGCCUCCUGAAAAUAAUUGAGACCCGUCCAUCACUUAUUUAUGAACUACUUUUCAGUGUCUUCUAUCGAUGAUAAGUGAGCUACUUUUUCUUUAGAGAUCGCCAUCUCAUUGGCACUAACUUGUAUAGCACACAGUUUCCCUUCCCAAUGCACUCGUAAUGCAUAGAUAGUCCCUCCUAAUCAUUUUGUGUUCAUUUUUUUGUCAAGAUUCAAAUCGAAUUUCCGACAUCAGAGACACGUAUUCUGUUAAUCAGGUGCUGAAGAAAAAAUCAAUCCUCUCCACUUGAAGGUAGGUGAUGCACACAGAUUUCUUCUUACCUUGCAAGCACCGUUGGAUGAAGAGAGUAGGCAUGAUCAUGGACAAACGCAUGCCGUCUUGCCUCGAUCUUGCAGGAGAGGAGGACAUUGUUUAUUUGCGUAGGGCUGUCGGGGGAUAAUUCGAUCGAGUAGGAGUUGUUACGUGGAAGAGGAGCUAGCAGCUGGGCGAUCGUUUGGCUAGGUGACGAGGAAGAAAUUGAUACAGCCGGCCAUUGUAUGGG